UACGUAGGAGACGGGCGUUGUUCGGAAUUAUUGGGCGUAAAGGGUGCGUAGGCGGUGCGGUAAGUCUGUUGUGAAAUCUCCGGGCUCAACUCGGAGUCUGCAUCAGAAACUGCCGUGCUGGAGUGUGGGAGAGGUGAGUGGAAUUCCCGGUGUAGCGGUGAAAUGCGUAGAGAUCGGGAGGAACACCUGCGGCGAAAGCGGCUCACUGGACCAUAACUGACGCUGAUGCACGAAAGCUAGGGGAGCAAACAGG
rnacentral:rRNA from 1 species